UGGGUAACCUGCCUCAAAGAGGGGAAUAGCCUCCCGAAAGGGAGAUUAAUACCGCAUAAUAUGUUUAAGUCGCAUGACUUUAACAUCAAAGGAUUUUCUUUUAGAAAUUCCACUUUGAGAUGGACCCGCGGUGCAUUAGCUAGUUGGUGAGGUAACGGCUCACCAAGGCAACGAUGCGUAGCCGACCUGAGAGGUGAUCGGCCACAUUGGAACUGAGACACGGUCCAGACUCCUAGGGAG
rnacentral:rRNA from 1 species